AUGGACAUGAGGGUCCCCGCUCAGCUCCUGGGGCUUCUGCUGCUCUGGCUCCCAGGGUGCCAGAUGUGCCAUCCAGUUGACCCAGUCUCCAUCCUCCCUGUCUGCAUCUGUAGGAGACAGAGUCACCAUCACUUGCCGGGCAAGUCAGGGCAUUAGCAGUGCUUUAGCCUGAUAUCAGCAGAAACCAGGGAAAGCUCCUAAGCUCCUGAUCUAUGAUGCCUCCAGUUUGGAAAGUGGGGUCCCAUCAAGGUUCAGCGGCAGUGGAUCUGGGACAGAUUUCACUCUCACCAUCAGCAGCCUGCAGCCUGAAGAUUUUGCAACUUAUUACUGUCAACAGUUUAAUAAUU
rnacentral:lncRNA from 1 species